UGUGAACCUUACCUAUGUUCUGUUGCCUCGGCGGCGUCGGUCAGCGCCCCUCUGAGAAGAGGACGAUGCCCCUCCCGCCGGCAGCACCAAACUCUUGAAUUUUACAGCGGAUUACAGUUCUGAUUUGAAAACAAAAAACAAGUUAAAACUUUCAACAACGGAUCUCUUGGUUCUGGCAUCGAUGAAGAACGCAGCGAAAUGCGAUAAGUAAUGUGAAUUGCAGAAUUCAGUGAAUCAUCGAAUCUUUGAACGCACAUUGCGCCCGGCAGUAAUCUGCCGGGCAUGCCUGUCCGAGCGUCAUUUCAACCCUCGAACCUCCGUUUCCUCAGGGAAGCCCAGGGUCGGUGUUGGGGCGCUACGGCGAGUCCUCGCGACCCCCGUAGGCCCUGAAAUACAGUGGCGGUCCCGCCGCGGUUGCCUUCUGCGUAGUAAGUCUCUUUUGCAAGCUCGCAUUGGGUCCCGGCGGAGGCCUGCCGUCAAACCACCUAACAACUCCAGAUGGUUUGACCUCGGAUCAGGUAGGGUUACCCGCUGAACUUAAGCAUAUCAAUAAGCGGGAGAA
rnacentral:rRNA from 1 species